GCCAGAUAAGGGAAGCAGGCCUCCGAAGCCAGCAGUGGCAACCCACUUGGGUCCCUUUCAAUGCUGUGGAAGCGUUGUUCUUUCACUCUUCUCAAUAAAUCUUGCUGCUGCUCACUCUUUGGGUCUGCCCCGCUGUUAUGAGCUGUAACACUCACAGCCAGUGUCUGCAGUUUCACUCCUGAAGCCAGCAAGACCACAAACCCACAGGGCGGGACAAACAACUCCGGACAGGAGGAAUGAACAACUCUGGACGCGCCACUUCUAUGAACUUUUAUGAACUGUAACACUCACCGCAAAGGUCUGCAGCUUCACCCCUGAGGCCAGGGAGACCACGAACCCACCGGAAGGAAUGAACAACUCCAGACGCACUGCCUUUAAGAGCUGUAACACUUACCACGGAUGUCUGCAGCUUCACUCCUGAAGUCAGCGAGACCACAAACCCAACAGAAGGAAGAAACUCCCGACACAUCUGAACAUCUGAAGGAACAAACUCUGGACACACCAUCUUUAAGAACUGUAACACUCACCGUGAGGGUCAACCGCUUCAUUCUUGAAGUCAGCCAGACCAAGAACCCACCAAUUCCGAGUCUCACUUUGUUGCCUAAGCUAGAGUGCAGCGUCGUGAUCAAGGCUCACUGCAGCCUCAACAUCCUGAUCCCCAGUGUUCCUCCCACCUCAACCUCCCAAGUAGCUGGGACCACAGGCUGAAGUGGAGUGUCAUGAUCUUGGCUCAUUGCAGCCUCCUCCUCCCAAGUUCAAGCAAUUCUCCUGCCUCAGCCUCCCGAGUAGUUGGAAUUACAGGGUUUCAUCAUUUUUGGCCAUGCUGGCCUUGAACGCCUAACCUCAAAUGAUCCACCUGCCUUGGCCUCCUGAAGUUCUGGGAGUUAUAGGCAUGAGUCACCAUGCCUGGCACCACAUAAAAUUAUUUUGUCAUUAACAUUACAUUUUAAAAUACAAACGCUGUUUUCCAUAUUACUCAGGUCAGAUCUUUUACCCCACUUCUCUCAGUGAGAUUGCAUUAUUUAUUUCCAUCUCUAUAAUCUACUGUUCAUCCAUCUAUCUAUCCAUCCCUCAAUUUAGUUUUUUCACUACAUUCUGCAUUUGAUUCUUUUGAGGGUGUAUGCUUGUGUUUGUGCGUGGAAGUGGGGGUGUGUGUGUGUGUGUGUGUUCAAAAAGGUCUACAGUUUCCUUUUUCUGUAAUAUCUGUGUCUGCUGUUGGUAUUAGGGUAAUGCUGAACUCAUAGAGUAUGUGAAAAGUUUUCUACAUUCUUUGAUUUUUCUGAAAGAAAUUGUGCAGAAUUCAUAUUAUUUCUUUCUUAAAUGCUCAAGUGUUUAUUAAAAUUUACCAGUAAAA
rnacentral:lncRNA from 1 species